rnacentral:rRNA from 1 species
CCUACGGGGGGCUGCAGUGGGGAAUUUUGGACAAUGGGGGCAACCCUGAUCCAGCCAUGCCGCGUGAGUGAAGAAGGCCUUCGGGUUGUAAAGCUCUUUCGGCCGGGAGGAAAUCGCAUAGGUUAAUACCCUGUGUGGAUGACAGUACCGGAAUAAGAAGCACCGGCUAACUACGUGCCAGCAGCCGCGGUAAUACGUACGGUGCGAGCGGGCGUCGAGAUUACUGGGCGUAAAGCGUGCGACGGCGGUGAAAUCCCCGGGCUCAACCUGGGAACUGCGCUUGUGACUGGAAGGCUAGAGUAUGGCAGAGGGGGGUGGAAUUCCACGUGUAGCAGUGAAAUGCGUAGAGAUGUGGAGGAACACCGAUGGCGAAGGCAGCCCCCUGGGCCAAUACUGACGCUCAUGCACGAAAGCGUGGGGAGCAAACAGGAUUAGAUACCCUGGUAGUC